ensembl:piRNA 21ur-7124 ncRNA
UAUUGACAAAUUCAGGUAAAU